UGGGGAAUAUUGCACAAUGGGCGCAAGCCUGAUGCAGCCAUGCCGCGUGUGUGAAGAAGGCCUUCGGGUUGUAAAGCACUUUCAGCGAGGAGGAAGGUGGUGAGCUUAAUACGCUCAUCAAUUGACGUUACUCGCAGAAGAAGCACCGGCUAACUCCGUGCCAGCAGCCGCGGUAAUACGGAGGGUGCAAGCGUUAAUCGGAAUUACUGGGCGUAAAGCGCACGCAGGCGGUUUGUUAAGUCAGAUGUGAAAUCCCCGGGCUCAACCUGGGAACUGCAUUUGAAACUGGCAAGCUAGAGUCUCGUAGAGGGGGGUAGAAUUCCAAGUGUAGCGGUGAAAUGCGUAGAGAUCUGGAGGAAUACCGGUGGCGAAGGCGGCCCCCUGGACGAAGACUGACGCUCAGGUGCGAAAAGCGUGGGGAGCAAAACAGGAUUAGAUACCCUGGUAGUCCACGCUGUAAAACGAUGUCGAUUUUGGAGGUUGUGCCCUUGAGGCGUGGCUUCCGGAGCUAACGCGUUAAAUCGACCGCCU
rnacentral:rRNA from 1 species